rnacentral:rRNA from 1 species
UAGCCGUAAACGAUACUCGCUAGGUGUCGGCCACGGUGCGACCGCUGUCGGUGCCGUAGGGAAGCCGUGAAGCGAGCCACCUGGGAAGUACGGCCGCAAGGCUGAAACUUAAAGGAAUUGGCGGGGGAGCACCACAACGGGUGGAGCUUGCGGUUUAAUUGGAUUCAACGCCGGAAAUCUUACCGGGACCGACAGCAAUAUGAAGGCCAGGCUGAAGACUUUGCCGGAUUAGCUGAGAGGAGGUGCAUGGCGUCAGUGACU